rnacentral:lncRNA from 1 species
AAAAACAAAAUAUUGUUCUUUCCAAAUAUGAAUGAAACAGAACGUUAUUUCCUUUCAAUUCUUAAAGAACCAAGGAAAUAUAAAGGAAUAUUUCUCUUUCUAAGUUUGCUGGCUACAAAUUUCAUGAGGGUAAAUAAUAACAAAGCAUUUCUAUGAUGAGCCAAGAACUCCAACAACUCGCUAAAGUCUGUCAAGAUAUUCCUGUCCGCAAAGGAAUAGCAAGACAUAUCUCGCUGAUGCCUCUAGAUCCAUUUCUGCUUGAAAAGCUUCCAAGACAAAUGCUACACUCUAAAAAAAGUCCAAGCAAAGAUCAUACGAGGCUACGUAAAUAGCAACGGGAUUUUGCGAUUCUAAGAGAGUACGGUGCAAUCUUCUCCAAAAGUAUUAUAUGGAGUAUUCCCUACCCCCCAGGUAUGUUAAGGCUAAGCUCUUCUUUCAUUUGGCAUGAUCUCGUCUUUACAUUCAUAUCCCGAAAUUUACGUAUAUUUUGCUAGUCUCGCAAAUUGCGUAUAUUUUUCUAGUGUUGUAAGUUAUAAUAUUCUCCUUAUCGGGACUUCAUAUUCAGUUGAGUAUUUCCUUCUUACAGUCAAAAGAGCAGAGAAGUUUAUAUAUAUAGUAUUAAAAGUAUUUUCAUUACCAUCGAGCUAUAAUUGAUGGGCAGGCCCCUAUUAGGCAACCUCUGAUCAGAUAGUAAGUUAUAUACCGAGCCUACUAUAGCCGAGCACUUAUGAGCGAGCCCAGUUGGUUGAUAUACAGAGCCUAGUAUGGCCGAGCG